AUUUAUAUAGUUUAAGUAAAACAUUACAUUUUCAUUGUAAAAAUAAAAAUAUAUUUUUUAUAAAUA
rnacentral:tRNA from 1 species